rnacentral:rRNA from 1 species
UCGGGAAUUUUGCGCAAUGGGCGAAAGCCUGACGCAGCAACGCCGCGUGAGGGAUGACGGCCUUCGGGUUGUAAACCUCUUUUGUCAGGGACGAUGAUGACGGUACCUGACGAAUAAGCCACGGCUAACUACGUGCCAGCAGCCGCGGUAAUACGUAGGUGGCAAGCGUUGUCCGGAUUUACUGGGCGUAAAGAGCGCGCAGGCGGUCGUUCAAGUCGCGUGUGAAAGCCCCCGGCUCAACUGGGGAGGGUCACGCGAUACUGAUCGACUCGAAGGCAGGAGAGGGAAGUGGAAUUCCCGGUGUAGUGGUGAAAUGCGUAGAUAUCGGGAGGAACACCAGUGGCGAAGGCGACUUCCUGGCCUGUUCUUGACGCUGAGGCGCGAAAGCUAGGGGAGCAAACGGGAUUAGAUACCCCCGUAGUCC